rnacentral:tRNA from 1 species
GAGGGUGUAGCUCAGUGGUAGAGUGUGUGCUUAGCACUCACAAGAUCCUGGGUUCAAUCCCUAGUACUGCCU